rnacentral:misc_RNA from 1 species
GUAACAAGGUCUCCGUAGGUGAACCUGCGGAGGGAUCAUUACACAAAUAUGAAGGCGGGCUGGAACCUCUCGGGGUUACAGCCUUGCUGAAUUAUUCACCCUUGUCUUUUGCGUACUUCUUGUUUCCUUGGUGGGUUCGCCCACCACUAGGACAAACAUAAACCUUUUGUAAUUGCAAUCAGCGUCAGUAACAAAUUAAUAAUUACAACUUUCAACAACGGAUCUCUUGGUUCUGGCAUCGAUGAAGAACGCAGCGAAAUGCGAUAAGUAGUGUGAAUUGCAGAAUUCAGUGAAUCAUCGAAUCUUUGAACGCACAUUGCGCCCUUUGGUAUUCCAAAGGGCAUGCCUGUUCGAGCGUCAUUUGUACCCUCAAGCUUUGCUUGGUGUUGGGCGUCUUGUCUCUAGCUUUGCUGGAGACUCGCCUUAAAGUAAUUGGCAGCCGGCCUACUGGUUUCGGAGCGCAGCACAAGUCGCACUCUCUAUCAGCAAAGGUCUAGCAUCCAUUAAGCCUUUUUUUUCAACUUUUGACCUCGGAUCAGGUAGGGAUACCCGCUGAACCUAAGCAUAUCA